CUGGAUGCUGUGUGGAGAAAACACUGAAAAGAAUUCUAGAGUGAAAGUUUCAUGAAUAUAAGAAGCAAGACAAGGAAGUGGCUUAUGCUUAAGGCCUUAAAGGCAACCACUGUGACAAUCCAGCCAUUCUCUGGAGAAUUCAGCAGAAAGCCAGUUGGAAUCUUUAUAGGGGGAGAAUAAUUGACUCCAUUCAAGUGUUCGCUCCUGUUUCAAUCAACUAUGGCUGAAGAGUGAGGAGACAUUUGGAAUAAAUAUGGCUUCUGGGGGCCCAUUCCUAUGGAUCAGCAGCUGGCUUCUGGAGGCCCAUUCCUGUGAAUCGUCGAUCUCAUAGAAGAUAAUAUUGUUAGAAGGCUUACCUCAUUGAUGCUGAACAUCCUAAAAAGCUUCUGCUGCUUUGAGUCACUGAAAAAGACCAAGAAACAUGAAUUUAAAAAAAAAUUUCAAAUGUUAUAAAAUAAAUAAUAUGAACUCAUUAUACCUACAAUGAAUAAUUUAAAUUCUUCUUUGGUAGUCCAGCAUAGGUUUAGAAACUAUGAAAACCCUAGAAGAAAACCUAGGCAAUGCCAUUCAGGACAUAGGCACGGACAAAGAUUUCAUGACGAAGACGCCAAAAACAACUGCAACAAAAGCAAAAAUUGACAGAUGGGAUCUCAUUAAACUAAAGAGCUUCCAUACAGCAAAAGAAGCUACCAUGAGAGUGAACAGACAACCUAUAGAAAGGGAGAAAAAUUUUGCAAUCUGUUCAUCUGACAAAGGUCUAAUAUCCAGCAUCUACAAGGAACUUAAAUAAAUUUACAAGAAAAAAACAAACCCAUUAGAAAAUGGGCAAAGGACAUGAAAAGAUACUUCUCAAAAGACAUACAUGUGGCCAACAAUCAUACAAAAAAAA
rnacentral:lncRNA from 1 species